GACACAAUGGCCGAGCGGUCCAAGGCGCUUGUCCCGGAUUUUAUAGAUAUCAAAUCCGGUUUCUGGAUGUAGGUUCAAGCCCUGUUCGUAUCG